rnacentral:rRNA from 1 species
AGUGAACGCUGGCGGCAGGCCUAACACAUGCAAGUCGAACGGAAGCACAAUAAGAUUGUGCCCUUACGGGUGGCGAGUGGCGGGUGAGUGAGGAAUACAUAGCCAUCUACUUUUUCGUGGGGGAUAACGGAGGGCAACUGAUGCUAAUAGCGCAUAUGACCAACGGCUGAAAGCAGUGGAUCUUGGGGGUUUGCGUGUCUCAAAGAGACGAUGCCGGAUUAGCUAGUUGGCGAGGUAAAGGCUCACCAAGGCAACGAUCCGUAGCCGACCUGAGAGGAUGAUCGGCCACACUGGAACUGAGACACGGUCCAGACUCCUACGGGAGGCAGCAGUAGGGAAUCUUCCGCAAUGGGCGAAAGCCUGACGGAGCAACGCCGCGUGAGUGAUGAAGGUCUUCGGAUCGUAAAACUCUGUUAUUAGGGAAGAACAAAUGUGUAAGUAACUAUGCACGUCUUGACGGUACCUAAUCAGAAAGCCACGGCUAACUACGUG